rnacentral:lncRNA from 1 species
GCAGACGACCGCGAACGCAGUGCACUGUCCGCGCUCUCCCCUUCCCUUCCGAUUAUUCGUUUCUGAACUUAAUCAUUUUGCACUCCUCCAGUCGUGCUACACCAACGUACACGGGUCGCUGACCGCUGGCCGUGCUGCAUCUCAUGGCGGCAUCCCCGCGUGCGAAACUCCCAGGCGACGGGGAGCGCAAAAUCACGGAGAAUGGCUGACCUCCGGGACGGCUCCAAAUGCG